GUCAAUUACCCCAUGCCCUUUAGGGUAUAUGCUUGUGAAAACAAGUCAGUUGAUUAGCCUGAGUCUUAAGCGACUACGUUAUUUUAGCAGGUAUACUAAUAAGUUAAACUUAAUCAUUUCAUUUUUAACCUAGAAUAAUUCACUAGUUCUAGGCCUAAA
rnacentral:sRNA from 19 species